AGAAACUUAUAUUUUAUUAUUAAAUAAUUUAUAUUAAAUAUUUCAAAACUUUCCCAAUUAUCUCUGUCUCACUACCGUGUCUCUCUCUCUCUAAAAAACUAGGGUGUCACUGCGUUGUCAAUUUCACCCGAUUGAAGUACUUCUCCGGUAUAGCUCCGGUCUCAUCUCCCUUAGACGGCCAUCCCGUCUCCAAGAUCUGUACGCAGACGUUUUUAUAGCCGAUUGAAGCUAAAGCAGAGUGAAAGGGAACCAAAUAAGAAUAUGAAAAUGGGGAAAAAAAGUCCACUUUUUCUGAGGACUACGAAGAGACGCAUCGGAAGAUAAAGGACGGUACAAGAGGAGAUUGGGUUGAAACGCUUGCUAAGAUUGCAUAUAAUUUCAAAAAAGUAUACAAGAUUGGCGUCAAAUCCAACCUACUUCAGAGGAUGGUACCAUGGUCCAACCAUCACCUGCAGAUAUGACUAAUAUGUGGACAGCUGUGGUAGGUGGUCCGAAAAAAGGUAGAACCUAUGGGAUAGGGGUUCUCCAAUCCUCGCGUAGUCCUUCGUUGUUUCUCAGUUCCUCUUCUACUUUGCAAACCAUGGAAGAAAUGGAAGCGAUGAAAAAGCAAAUGUGGAAUUGAUGCAGCAAUAUGCAGCUAACGAUGCUAAGUUUGCUAAAUUUGAGAAGUUGGUUAAGAAACACAUGCCUCAAGUAUUUCAUGAUGAGGAAGAGAGUGAAUUUGAUGAUAAUUAGAUUGUAGUUCUUGUUUUUGUUUUUGGUUGUGACAUUUAGAUGUUUAAACUAUUUGAUUUGAUGUUUGUUUUGGAUGUUUUAAAGUGGUUACAUUUAUAAAUAUUUGUCGUCGUCGUA